UGCCUUUAAUGUGUUACCCGUUCGUUGCUUCUCUGAUGAAUGUGGUGUCAAAUAGGGCAGACAGUAAUGCAUGAGGUGGCUGAUGAAAGGCAUUUACAUCUGUGCCUUUCAAAUGCGUCAUGUCAUGGAUAUUA